CAUUAUUGAAUAUUCUUGAUGGGUUGUAGCUGGCUCUUCGGGGCAUGUGCACGCUUGUCUUGACUCUAUUCAUCCACCUGUGCACCUUUUGUAGUCUUGGGGGUUGAGAUCAGUCGACUAUCGGAUGGCUAGUAUAGCCUUUCCGAAGGGAAGAAUGGCGCAUGGGGAAAGCAUACAGCUCUUCUCUAAUGACUUGUAACCUCUCCUUCGAGUACUAUGUAUUCAUAUACCACAUAGUAUGUUGUCGAAUGUGAUCAAUGGGUCUACGUGCCUAUAAUAAUCAUAUACAACUUUCAGCAACGGAUCUCUUGGCUCUCGCAUCGAUGAAGAACGCAGCGAAAUGCGAUAAGUAAUGUGAAUUGCAGAAUUCAGUGAAUCAUCGAAUCUUUGAACGCACCUUGCGCUCCUUGGUAUUCCGAGGAGCAUGCCUGUUUGAGUGUCAUUAAAUUCUCAACCCCUCCAACUUUUGCGAGUUGUGAUGGGGCUUGGACUUGGGAGCUUGCGGGUCUUUAUCAAUAAAGGUCAGCUCUCCUGAAAUGCAUUAGCGGAACCGUUUGCAGUCCCGUCACUAGUGUGAUAAUUAUCUACACUGUGAUGAUUGCUCUCUGACUAGUUCAGCUGCUAAUCGUCCACUAUGGACAACACUUAAUGAACUUCUUGACCUCAAAUCAGGUAGGACUACCCGCUGAACUUAAGCAUAUCAU
rnacentral:rRNA from 1 species